GACGAACGCUGGCGGCGUGCUUAACACAUGCAUUUCGAACGGAAAGGCCCUGCUUUUGUGGGGUGCUCGAGUGGCGAACGGGUGAGUAACACGUGAGUAACCUGCCCUUGACUUUGGGAUAACUUCAGGAAACUGGGGCUAAUACCGGAUAGGAGCUCCUGCUGCAUGGUGGGGGUUGGAAAGUUUCGGCGGUUGGGGAUGGACUCGCGGCUUAUCAGCUUGUUGGUGGGGUAGUGGCUUACCAAGGCUUUGACGGGUAGCCGGCCUGAGAGGGUGACCGGCCACAUUGGGACUGAGAUACGGCCCAGACUCCUACGGGAGGCAGCAGUGGGGAAUAUUGCACAAUGGGCGGAAGCCUGAUGCAGCAACGCCGCGUGCGGGAUGACGGCCUUCGGGUUGUAAACCGCUUUCGCCUGUGACGAAGCGUGAGUGACGGUAAUGGGUAAAGAAGCACCGGCUAACUACGUGCCAGCAGCCGCGGUGAUACGUAGGGUGCGAGCGUUGUCCGGAUUUAUUGGGCGUAAAGGGCUCGUAGGUGGUUGAUCGCGUCGGAAGUGUAAUCUUGGGGCUUAACCCUGAGCGUGCUUUCGAUACGGGUUGACUUGAGGAAGGUAGGGGAGAAUGGAAUUCCUGGUGGAGCGGUGGAAUGCGCAGAUAUCAGGAGGAACACCAGUGGCGAAGGCGGUUCUCUGGGCCUUUCCUGACGCUGAGGAGCGAAAGCGUGGGGAGCGAACAGGCUUAGAUACCCUGGUAGUCCACGCUGUAAACGGUGGGUACUAGGUGUGGGGUCCAUUCCACGGGUUCCGUGCCGUAGCUAACGCUUUAAGUACCCCGCCUGGGGAGUACGGCCGCGAGGCUAAAACUCAAAGGAAUUGACGGGGCCCCGCACAAGCGGCGGAGCAUGCGGAUUAAUUCGAUGCAACGCGUAGAACCUUACCUGGGUUUGACAUGGAUCGGGAGCGCUCAGAGAUGGGUGUGCCUCUUUUGGGGUCGGUUCACAGGUGGUGCAUGGCUGUCGUCAGCUCGUGUCGUGAGAUGUUGGGUUAAGUCCCGCAACGAGCGCAACCCUUGUUCACUGUUGCCAGCACGUUAUGGUGGGGACUCAGUGGAGACCGCCGGGGUCAACUCGGAGGAAGGUGGGGAUGACGUCAAGUCAUCAUGCCCCUUAUGUCCAGGGCUUCACGCAUGCUACAAUGGCUGGUACAGAGAGUGGCGAGCCUGUGAGGGUGAGCGAAUCUCGGAAAGCCGGUCUCAGUUCGGAUUGGGGUCUGCAACUCGACCUCAUGAAGUCGGAGUCGCUAGUAAUCGCAGAUCAGCAACGCUGCGGUGAAUACGUUCCCGGG
rnacentral:rRNA from 1 species